rnacentral:rRNA from 1 species
GACGAACGCUGGCGGCGUGCCUAAUACAUGCAAGUCGAACGCUUCCUACCGGUGCUUGCACCGGGAAAGAAGAGUGGCGGACGGGUGAGUGACACGUGGGUAACCUACCUACAAGAGGGGGAUAACAUUCGGAAACGGAUGCUAAUACCGCAUAGAUCUUUUUGUCUCCUGGCAGAAAGAAGAAAGACGGUUUCGGCUGUCACUUGUAGAUGGACCCGCGGGGCAUUAGUUAGUUGGUGAGGUAAUGGAUCACCAAGACGAUGAUGCGUAGCCGACCUGAGAGGGUGAUCGGCCACACUGGGACUGAGACACGGCCCAGACUCCUACGGGAGGCAGCAGUAGGGAAUCUUCCGCAAUGGACGAAAGUCUGACGGAGCAACGCCGCGUGAGUGAAGAAGGUUUUCGGAUCGUAAAACUCUGUUGUUAGAGAAGAACAAGGAUGAGAGUAACUGCUCGUCCCUUGACGGUAUCUAACCAGAAAGCCAUGGCUAACUACGUGCCAGCAGCCGCGGUAA